rnacentral:rRNA from 1 species
GAUGAACGCUGGCGGCGUGCCUAAUACAUGCAAGUCGAGCGAACGGACGAGAAGCUUGUUUCUCUGAUGUUAGCGGCGGACGGGUGAGUAACACGUGGAUAACCUACCUAUAAGACUGGGAUAACUUCGGGAAACCGGAGCUAAUACCGGAUAAUAUUUUGAACCGCAUGGUUCAGAAGUGAAAGACGGUCUUGCUGUUACUUAUAGAUGGAUCCGCGCUGCAUUAGCUAGUUGGUAAGGUAACGGCUUACCAAGGCAACGAUGCAUAGCCGAUCUGAGAGGGUGAUCGGCCACACUGGAACUGAGACACGGUCCAGACUCCUACGGGAGGCAGCAGUGGGGAAUCUUGCACAAUGGGCGAAAGCCUGACGCAGCAACGCCGCGUGAGUGAAGAAGGUCUUCGGAUCGUAAAGCUCUGUUAUUAGGGAAGAACAGCUGUGUAAGUAACUGUGGACGUCUUGACGGUACCUAAUCAGAAAGCCACGGCUAACUACGUG